rnacentral:lncRNA from 1 species
AAAAUAACAGAAAUAACUGUAACCAACAAGAAUUCACUUCAGAUUUAAUGGCUACCUCAUCAUAUUCCAACAUAAGAUAUGAAUAUAUUACAUGAGGGAAGAAAUAAAUUAACUAGUGUGUCUCUGUUUACCAACCAUAGCCACAGGCUCUAGGAAUUUGUUCAUGGGCGACUUUUAGAGUCAAAACAAUGGACAAGGAACAAGGGAUCUACUAAAAGAUCUGGUCGUAAUUAAUUUGGUCGGUUAUAUCUGUCCCCUGCGUUCUUCAUAUUCAUUGAUUUUGCUGCUGCCCCUCUUUAAUUAUUAUUAUAUAUAUAUGUUCAAUUCACCCUCAGAUACCCCUUCUUUACACUCCAUUGAAACUGAUACGCCAGAACAUAAAUUUAAAGAAGCUUUUGUAAUCUCCUUCCUUGCAAGCUGCAAGAGAUUAAAAAAAAAAAAAAAAAAAAAAAAAGGUGAUAUACAAUAUGUACAAAUAUACAAUAUGUACAAAUAUAUAGCAGUCUUCUUCAAAAUAAAGUAUGAAUUGGACAUUUUUACAAUUUUUAAAAGUAUUGUAAAAAAAAUUGUCUACAUUGUAAAAUACAGAAUUCAUAUUUAAUAAAAUACGGACGUCCGCUUGUUAUUUAAACUAUUCAGUGGACAUUGUUAAUUUUGGAACAUAAGAUAGUUGAGACAGGACAUGAGGGCUUUACCAGAUGUUUUGUAGGGCAGCUCAAUGUCACAUAUUAAUUGAAAGAACACAAGUUGCUGGUGAACCCAGAUGGGUUAAGAAACCUUUGUUUUUGGUCUUCAACAUCCCAAAGGAGACUAUUCCCAUUAUCCUGAAAAUGACAACACAUUUGUCACAUACUUAGAAGCAUAGAACCAUGUAUUUUUUUUUUGUUGAACAUUUUGUAAUUUGAUAAUGGAUUAAUGGUCUAAAAUGGUUUGCAUAUUCAUGCAAAUAAGUAACUAGCUAGUUAAAUUGAUAAUAUACCUGAUAGAUUAAGGCAUUUGGCCUCUGCCCUUGUUGAAGUAAAAGUGCAGUAUCAAGAACAGGAUAGUUAUUGCGAUGAUCAGCUGGGGCAAAGGCAGUGGUUGUGUCAGCAAAAGCUGUGAGCUGGGCUGUGGGGCUGCAUUGCACUUGAGGUGCUGAAGCUGAAGCAGCAAUAAUG